rnacentral:rRNA from 1 species
GACGAACGCUGGCGGCGUGCUUAACACAUGCAAGUCGAACGGAAAGGCCCUGCUUUUGUUGGGUGCUCGAGUGGCGAACGGGUGAGUAACACGUGAGUAACCUGCCCUUGACUUUGGGAUAACUUCAGGAAACUGGGGCUAAUACCGGAUAGGAGCUCCUGCUGCAUGGUGGGGGUUGGAAAGUUUCGGCGGUUGUGGAUGGACUCGCGGCUUAUCCGCUUGUUGGUGGGGUAGUGGCUUACGAAGGCUUUGACGGAUAGCCGGCCUGGGAGGGGGACCGGCGACAUUGGGACUGAGAGACGGCCCAGAAGCCUACGGGAGGCAGCAGUGGGAAAUAUUGCACAAUGGGCGGAAGCCUGAUGCAGCAACGCCGGGUGCGGGAUGACGGCCUUCGGGUGGUAAACCGCUUUCGCCUGUGACGAAGCGUGAGUGACGGUAAUGGGUAAAGAAGCACCGGCUAACUACGUG